rnacentral:lncRNA from 1 species
UUUACUUCCAUGAGCAAGCCAUCUCCAUAUCUUGCUGCCAUGUUCCUUUGCAACCCCUACUUUUUUCCAAUUCCUUUUGAUGUGUUGUUCUCCCUGCAACCCCAUUAGACUAUAAAUUCUUUGAGGUCAGAGUCUGUCUGGUUUAUUUGUUUUUGUGUCUUUUUCACUUAGUACAGUAAGUGCUGAUAUAUAGUUUUCCUCCUCCUCCUCCUCUUCCUCCUCCUCCUCCUUCUUUCUUUCUUUCUUUCUUUCUUUCUUUCUUUCUUUCUUUCUUUCUUUCUUUCUUUCUUUCUUUCUUUCUUUCUUUCUUUCUUUCUUUCUUUCUUUCUUUCUUUCUUUCUUUCUUUCUUUCUUUCUUUCUUUCUUUCUUUCUUUCCUUCUUUCCUUCUUUCCUUCUUUCCUUCUUUCCUUCUUUCCUUCUUUCUUUCUUUCUUUCUUUCUUUCUUUCUUUCUUUCUUUCUUUCUUUCUUUCUUUCUUUCUUUCUUUCUUUCUUUCUUUCUUUCUUCUUUCUCUCUCUCUCUUUCUUUCUUUCUUUCUUUCUUUCUUUCUUUCUUUCUUUCUUUCUUUCUUUCUUUCUUUCUUUCUUUCUUUCUUUCUUUCUUUCUUUCUUUCUUGUGAGUUAGGGGAUAUUUCCAAAGGGGUCAUUGCAUA